AAAAUCCGUCGACUUUAGAAUCCCCA
rnacentral:tRNA from 1 species